rnacentral:lncRNA from 1 species
AUUGCUGUUAAUUGUUGUUAGUCGUUAUCGUUAAUUAGCGCUGCCCGCCGACUGGGGAGCCGUCUUCCGCAGCAUCCAGACCCCUCCGCGCUACCCCAUUGCCGAGUAAUUGGAUUAUUAUCCGUACGGGUCCGCCCCCUGCACCGGUGUGUAUGUGCUCGGGAGAGGCUCCAAAAAAAGACUAAAAAAGAGAAAAAAAAAAAACCAAAAAAAAAACCAACGAAAAAACCCCAAACCCACCUAAACCCCGUUCUUAAAGUGGUAACUAAAGGCAGUUAAUGACAUCAUGCAUGGACGUUUAAACUUCUUGUAAGAUCUUGUCUAAAUUGCUUGAAAGUGAAUUUGGUAAAAUACUGCACCCUAGCACCUUUGUUACUUAUCUUCCCCUCUGAGCCUAGAGAAAAUAUAUAUCAAAACUUUCCUCUAUAAACUUAGUUUUAGGUGUUAUGAUAUCCUUGUAUAUGGAAUAGAGGUCCUCUCUUGACACAGUUCCUAUUUACCUUAGUGCCAUUCUACAAACUUUUAACUGAAAAGGUGGGAUUGUAUUCCUCCAUUUACCCCAAACUGCUCAUACUUAUUUUAAAAUAGAUUGAUGUUUCUUCAUUGAAAGAUGAGAAACAUAGCCACAAGGAGAGAAAAUCCCAUGCAUACACACAGUGUCCAUUGCCAAUUACAUUGCCAGAUAACAACCACAUAUUUUUACUUUCUUCACACACAUUCUUGGUUAUUUCUUCACCUACUAGGCCCUACUACUCAGCUAUGUGUAGUCACUACCUGCUUAUGGGAGUGGAUUGGACAGGUUUUGGAUCAACCUGGUCUAGUGGAAGGUGUCCCUGCCCGUGGCAGGGGAUUGGAACUGGAUGAGCUUUAAGGUCCCUUCCAACACAAACCAGUCUGUGAUUCUGUGAUACCCGACAUUCAGAACUCUCACACAGGAGUUCAUUUUCACCUAAGAGUUAUUAUGCAGUUUUUAACCAACAGAGUGAUAGGUCCUGGAUUUUUUUCUCAGCAAAGACAUAUUUCUGGCAAAGUAGUGCAAUUCAUUGGUCACUUUAAUGUUUAGUUUAAUGCUCACUUAUGCAGAAGCAUGCAGCUGCUGAUGCAUAAAAACAGCCUCUAGUAUCACCUAUCUCUUAUCUCAGUCACCGACACAGUCCAGCUUUACUUAGUUUAUGAAAUAUGAGCCCUCUGUUUGACAACAGAUAAGCACACAUCCUUGUACCUUGUAUCACUAAACAACACUUUUCCUAGCAUAGUGGUUGCUGCUUUUAAAAUUUUAUCCUGGUUUUCUUGGCACAAUCUGUGGCUUUACAGGAGCUACUGAGUAUGUUAUAAACUUUUUCCAUGCAGUUCUUUAUUUUAGUGUUAUUUGCAACUUGGCAAUAUUUUGCUACUGAAGUUUUGUGUUAGAGAACACACAACUGAUGAGAUUUUUUUGUACCUUCCGUCCUACACAGGAAAGAUAUAGUACUUCCCAAGCCUGUGAUUUGGUUACAUUCUGUGGGAAGCCAAAGAUGGAACAACUUUUUUUUUUUUGGUCUUUUUUUUUUUUUUUCUCCUGCCAAAUUACAUGGAAAAUCUUACUUCAAACUUCUUGUCCAGUCAUCCAUAUUUUCAGACAUGAUACACACUCAUUCUUGCUGCUGAAAUAAACGGAAGCACACAGAACUUCUAGAAACUAGAUUUUCAAGCAUUAAUAAACUAAUGCUUGUUUAUUUCUUUAUAGCAAUUACCAGUGCUUUAUAUUAUUUUGAUGUUAAUAUCGCUAUAGAAAUGAUAGUAAAAAAGUAAGACUAGUCAUAUCACUAGGGGUUGAUACUUUAUUCAAGGGCUUUAGGACCAUUUCUCUUGCAUUUUCAGAUUAAGCAGACAAGCAAAGUUACAGAAAGUGGCACGGAUGCUGGAAGGGAUUAUUGGCAUGAGUAUUUCCAGUGCCAUGGUGGAAAGUCGGAAUGAAAAGGAAGGAUAUUUUGACAUAGCAUCUAGAUGGAAGAAAAAGAAAA